AAGAGAAACAACAGUUUCAGAAUCCAAACAUCACAGAGGAGUGUUUUUUGUCUGGUCUUGUUACAGAAGGUGAAAAGCAACAAUGAAUACAAAAGAAGAUACUUAUACCAAGAAACUGUACUUUCUGAAAUGCUUCUACCAUACAUCUAUUCUUUCUCAUGAGAUGAUGGACAAAAUCUAGGCAAUUCAUAGUGGAAUCAGUUACCUGAGAUCUUCCUUCAAUCCUCUUUUCACUCUUCACAAAUCUUAUUUGGUGUGAAGAUAAUCCUCAGAAAUCUCAUCCUGACAACCAUUUUUGGAAAAAGAAUUCAGCUCAAGGUUAAUAAGAAUGAAUAUUACAUAG